rnacentral:rRNA from 1 species
UACGUAGGGGGCAAGCGUUGUCCGGAUUUAUUGGGCGUAAGGAGCGUGUAGGCGGUUAGGUAGGUCCGUUGUGAAAACUCGAGGCUCAACCUCGAGACGCCGAUGGAAACCAUCUGACUAGAGUCCGGAAGAGGAGAGUGGAAUUCCUGGUGUAGCGGUGAAAUGCGCAGAUAUCAGGAAGAACACCCGUGGCUAAGGCGGCUCUCUAGUACGUGACUGACGCUGAGACGCGAAAGCGUGGGGAGCGAACAGG